rnacentral:rRNA from 1 species
GAUGAACGCUAGCUACAGGCAUAACACAUGCAAGUCGAGGGGAAACGAUAUUGGAAGCUUGCUUCCGAUAGGCGUCGACCGGCGCACGGGUGAGUAACGCGUAUCCAACCUGCCCAUCACUUGGGGAUAACCUUGCGAAAGUAAGACUAAUACCCAAUGAUAUUUAUAGAAGGCAUCCGAAAUGAAUUAAAGAUUUAUCGGUGAUGGAUGGGGAUGCGUCUGAUUAGCUUGUUGGCGGGGUAACGGCCCACCAAGGCGAAGAUCAGUAGGGGUUCUGAGAGGAAGGUCCCCCACAUUGGAACUGAGACACGGUCCAAACUCCUACGGGAGGCAGCAGUGAGGAAUAUUGGUCAAUGGGCGAGAGCCUGAACCAGCCAAGUAGCGUGCAGGAUGACGGCCCUAUGGGUUGUAAACUGCUUUUAUAGGGGAAUAAAGUGAGCCACGUGUGGUUUUUUGCAUGUACCCUAUGAAUAAGGACCGGCUAAUUCCGUGCCAGCAGCCGCCGUAAAAC